GGCAAAUUUGAAAAAAAUCUGAUUAUAUUAGACUUAAAAUCUUGUCGUAGAUCUUUCUACAGCUUUCUUACAUUACUCAGAACUUGGUAUUUUGGAAUAUUUGUUGGAUUCACUCCUCAUCUGAAUAAAACAGACAUUACCUUUGGAAACGCUCGGGUAGAGGCCCAUCGAAAUCAGCUAAAGAUGUCUAAGGCCACAAAGGUUCAGUCCAAGCCAAAUGUUUUUAUUUCAACGGCUUCCUCAUAUCAACAAGUAUUAGAGAAAGAUAACGAACCUGACUUUCCGGGAUUUCCCGAAGCAACCACAUCAGAAGAGGGUAAAGCAACUUCGAGGAAAAGGAAGAUUGGAGAAACCCUAAUGGGUUCGGAACACACACUAAGGCGAUCGAAAAGGAAAAAAGGCGGUUUAAACAUUUCAUAAUUAGAAACCCUGUAAAAGGGGGAAGAGUUAUUAUAUAGUAUAACAGUUUUUAUUCCAAAAAUAAUAAAAGUACUGCUUACUGGCAGUACUGCCUACGAAGGCGAUCGAAAUGUAAAUAAUAAAGAAACGGACUGGUUCCGUUAGUUAUGUUUUUGAUGUUAACUAGUGCGCUUCACUUUCC